GACGAACGCUGGCGGCGUGCUUAACACAUGCAAGUCGAACGGACGAGUGAGAUAAGUUUACUUAACUCACAAGUUAGUGGCGGACGGGUGAGUAACACGUGGAUAAUCUACCUGCAACACCGGGAUAACGCUGUGAAAACGGUGCUAAUACCGGAUACGUUCCCUUGUGCGCAUGUAUGAGGGAAGAAAGCUCAGGCGGUUGCAGAUGAGUCCGCGGCUGAUUAGCUAGUUGGUGAGGUAAAGGCUCACCAAGGCGAUGAUCAGUAGCCGGCCUGAGAGGGUGAACGGCCACACUGGGACUGAGACACGGCCCAGACUCCUACGGGAGGCAGCAGUGGGGAAUCUUCCGCAAUGGGCGCAAGCCUGACGGAGCAACGCCGCGUGGGUGAAGAAGGCCUCGGUUGUAAGCCUGUCUUAUGGGAAGAAGUCAGUGACGGUACCAUAGGAGGAAGCCACGGCUAACUACGUGCCAGCAGCCGCGGUAAUGAGUAGUA
rnacentral:rRNA from 1 species